UACGUAGGUGGCAAGCGUUGUCCGGAUUUACUGGGCGUAAAGGGCGUGCAGGCGGUUUGUUAAGUGCAGGGUGAAAGCUCCCGGCUCAACUGGGGGAGGUCCUUGCAUACUGGCGAACUCGAGGGAGGCAGAGGAAAGUGGAAUUCCCGGUGUAGUGGUGAUAUGCGUAGAUAUCGGGAGGAACACCUGUGGCGAAGGCGGCUUUCUGGGCCUUACCUGACGCUGAGACGCGAAAGCGUGGGGAGCGAACCGG
rnacentral:rRNA from 1 species